GGUUGCGUAGCUCAGUUGGUAGAGCGCCGGUCUUAUAAGCCGUUGAGGUCGCGGGUUCGAGUCCCGCCGCAACCA
rnacentral:tRNA from 1 species